GCCCGGUUAGCUCAAUCGGUAGAGCGUGAGACUCUUAAAUGAGUCCACUAUCUCAAGGUUGCGGGUUCGACCCCCGCAUCGGGCU
rnacentral:tRNA from 1 species